rnacentral:lncRNA from 1 species
GAUUUCGUGCCACGGAAUGGAUUAACGAACUAAAAACGUUUCCAAUCCCGACUGCAGCUCCCGCUAAAGCAAUUGUAGCAGCUCCUGCACCUAUUGAUUUUGCUCCUUCUAACAUGAUCCGGAAAAUAUCUUCGAUGAAUCAUUCUUUUUUUAUUACGCUUUUACGAAUUUACGAAGAUGCUCUCUCAGAAAUCUUUCUUUCUUCUCUCUUUCCCUCGUUCCUCUUUUUCAUCUCACUUUUCCCUUUCUUUUCCCUACGCUUUCUUCUCUUAUGAGAUUGAUAGUUGGAUGAAAAGAGUGUUCUGGUCAUACUUGCUCGCAACAGAUGCUUCUUUCUUUCCCGCUACCGAGGAGCUUACCUUAUGCUUUUGCCCUACCUCCUUUUAUUCCUUUUAUCUCAGUACUGGUUCAGGAGCGGAAGAGGCAAUAAGCCUAUCUCUUGCCGAAGUUUAUGGUUCAAAAGAAAGGGAUGAAGCCAGGCAGUCAGUCUCCCAUUGUUAAAGCUCAAUCAUCAUUUAGAUUUAGGGUUUUAUUCAAGGCGAUUUCGCAACCUCAGGAGAUGAACGAAGACAGCACAGCUCCUCAACUACUCCUUUCGACGGGAACUCAAGAGUGAAGAAUCAAAGACGGGAUUGCCUUACAUUCAAGAGCGGAUACCUUCGAUAGUACGGAUCCUAAGUCCAAUUAGAGUGGAAAUCAUUCAAUCGGUCAGUCCCACUCUUCGGGGAAAGCGAGAAAAGAAAGAAGGAAGGCAUUUCGGGGAGUCAAGAGCUUGUUACAAACCUGUGUCAAAACAAGAAGGGCUCGGGAAGACAUAAAUAAGGCAGAUCAGAUUGAGAUAGAUUGGUGGAGGCUACCUACUUGAGAUAGAUUGGUGGAGGCUACCUACCCAUAUUAAACAAAGGGUAAAAUACAAAGGCUCAACCUCGAAUAAAGUCAUACCUAGCAUAGGAUGUCAUUUAGAAAUACAGGCUUUUGGCAUUGAUCUCAUUACACCGCUUUCUCCUUUACUCGGACAGCAAGCUUAGAGUAGCCGCUUCCUU